rnacentral:rRNA from 1 species
UACGUAGGUGGCAAGCGUUGUCCGGAUUUACUGGGCGUAGAGAGCGCGCAGGCGGUCGUGCAAGUCGCGUGUGAAAGCCCCCCGGCUCAACUGGGGAGGGUCACGCGAUACUGCUCGACUCGAAGGCAGGAGAGGGAAGUGGAAUUCCCGGUGUAGUGGUGAAAUGCGUAGAGAUCAGGAGGAACACCCAUGGCGAAGGCAGCUCUCUGGCCGUCACCC